AAUUUCUCAACCUUUCCAGCUUUUAUUAGCUUGGUCAGGCUUGGAUGUGGGGGUUGCAGGCUUUAUUUAUGAGGUCUGCUCUCCUAAAAUGCAUUAGCGGAACUUUUGUCGACCGUCUAUUGGUGUGAUAGUUAUCUACACCGUGGAUGUAAAGCAGUUUUUAUAAAGUUCAGCUUCUAACUGUCCAUUAACUUGGACAAUUUUGACA
rnacentral:misc_RNA from 1 species